UACGUAGGGGGCAAGCGUUGUCCGGAUUUAUUGGGCGUAAAGAGCGUGUAGGCGGCCAAGCAGGUCAGCUGUGAAAACUCGAGGCUCAACCUCGAGACGUCGGUUGAAACCGCUUGGCUAGAGUCCGGAAGAGGAGAGUGGAGUUCCCGGUGUAGCGGUGAAAUGCGCAGAUAUCGGGAAGAACACCCGUGGCGAAGGCGGCUCUCUGGGACGGUACUGACGCUGAGACGCGAAAGCGUGGGGAGCGAACAGG
rnacentral:rRNA from 1 species